GAUGAACGCUGGCGGCGUGCCUAAUACAUGCAAGUCGAGCGAACGGACGAGAAGCGUGCUUCUCUGAUGUUAGCGGCGGACGGGUGAGUAACACGUGGAUAACCUACCUAUAAGACUGGGAUAAGUUCGGGAAACCGGAGCUAAGACCGGAUAAUAUUUUGAACCGGAUGGUUCAAAAGUGAAAGAGGGGCUUGCUGUCACUUAUAGAUGGAUCCGCGCUGCAUUAGCUAGUUGGUAAGGUAACGGCUUACCAAGGCAACGAUGCAUAGCCGACCUGAGAGGGGGAUCGCGCACUCUGGAAGUGAGCCGCCGUCCAGACUCCUACGGGCGGCAGCAGCAGGGACUCUUCCGAGAUGUGCGGAAGCCUGCAGGAGCAACGCCGCGUUGGUGCUGAAGCUCUUCGGAUCGUAAAACUCUGUUAUUAGGGAAGAACAUAUGUGUAAGUAACUGUGCACAUCUUGACGGUACCUAAACAGAAAGCACCGGCUAACUACGUG
rnacentral:rRNA from 1 species